UCGCGUUCGUGUGGUUCGCACCACCGUACCAGCUUGUGGUAAUUUUCUUCUGUUUUUUACUUCGACGGUUUGGGAGCUAGCCCACUACGCAUCCGUACCUCAACUUUUUCCUCUUCGCUUUCCAAUCUAGAUCGGGCGGACGAGCGGUUUGAGAUUGGAACUGAGGUGCGACGGCGGCGAGCAGGUUCGGAUUUGGUACUCGGGAGCCAGGCGAGCAGCGGGUGGGUUCUGCGCUCUUGCUGGAGUCGGCGACGUCGUAGUCGGCCUGCCGAUUCGCCGGCGUCGUGGCGGCCGGCCGAAUCGCGGGCGUCGUGGCGGCCGGCCGAAUCGCGGGCGUCGUGGUCGGAUGGCCAAAUCGGCGGCGUGGUGAGCAAGUGGGUCGUAGCUGCGGGCGGUAUUGCCGUAUUGGCACUGCCUCCAUCUUCUCCUUUCUCUACUGCAAGUGCUGCGCGGCCUUCCGUCGGCCGUUGUCUGCGAAACUCGUGGGGAUUUUUCAAGCAUUGGUCGCUAGUGAUGAUUCAGAUUAUUUUGACUUGCUAAUCAGGCAUCGAGGUACUACUGCAUUGGUAAUCUUUUUACAUGUUCAUAUUUCUUUCUUCGCCAAUUGCUUUUGAAGGCAUUACCCCCUUUCAUAAGCUGUAGAGUGGGCCACAAAAAACUCUAAUUGUUAACAUAAGUAAAAGUAGCAAAGUGUCUUGCUUGUCUAAUGAAAAAUAUUAGCGGAAGACAUCUAUACAUUGUUGCUAUAAAUUUACCUAUGGAGUUCAGUUGGAUCAUUUUUCUUUUUCUUACAGGGACAUUAGCCAGUAUUUAAAUUAAGCAAUCCAACAUUUUUUCAAUUACACAUAGACCAUUUAAGAUCGUAUGUAUGUUUAUCUACCCGUUGGAAGCACCCGGUCAUAUUAAUUUUACAUCUUCUCUGAUUGUAGUAAAUAUACCUCUCUGAAUCUCCAUGCAUCACUCAGCUGUAAUAAUUUUUUAAGCAUAGUUCAACUGUUGAUUGUCAGUAUCUAGUUUCAAAAGGUCACAGAAAUACUUCUUACAUACAUGAAACUGGUAUAUAUACUGACAAGCACCAAUGAUGCCACUAAUGUAGCUCGAGCUGUCGUGGUCUUUAGAAAUGGAUAUAUGUGAAAAUAAAGAAGUAUGUCUGUCACUACAUCCUUCUACUGUUGUCCUUUUUCUGCAAACUUCCAGGUGGUCAUAUCAGUAGCCAAAAUGUGCCCCUUUCUGCAGCGUGCCGCCGAAUCAAUGUGGAUAGUGUACCUUAAAAUUCUUUAAUUUUAGAUAUAUUUAUGUUGCAGUCGUGGUAAAGAUGCUUCUGUUACCUAUUAACUAACUAAGUAAAGGGGACGGAAAGGAUUGUAUCAUAUGGUCUUGAAAAUAAAUGAUUUGUUUGUAGAACACUCCGGAUGAAAGAUCUAAAGGAUGUCAUGUAUAAGCAUGGACUUUCAAAGCAUGGAAAAAGCAGGUUUGUUCACUGAUAUUUUGUAUACCUACGUUUCACACAAAUAAGUUCUAGGUGCUGAUUUACUUCACAUCCAUUGCCCAUAUGCGUCAGUCUAUCUUUAUUGUGGGAAAGCACACAAUUGAUCGAAUUUUUUAUGGCCUCCAUAUCAAUGACAUAAAAAAUUCGGAAACUAAUGAACCUCCAUGUCAAUUCGGAAUCGGUGGCAAUGGCGGCGUGGCGUGCUUCAUUCUGUUGAAGGGGAUUGUACGAAUGGCUGGAUGGUGGCGGCAACUGAUGACUCCGGUGGCCUCAGCCUCAGAUUGGAUGCCAUAAAUUUAGUUAUCAGUGUAUAUGUAGCAGCUCAGUCAUCACAGUUUUAUCCUUUGUAAAUCUAUGAUUGAAUUACAUGUUGUGAAUUUUGUGCUCCAUAUUAAACAAGGAUUUUAUUUCUGAAAACA